UGAAGCCCUUUCACUUUACCAUGUAGAUCAGUACAUGUCUAUAUUGGUCAUUCGCUGGGGCCACAACAACAAUCUUCUUAAAACCCAAGCAAAUCCUUGUAUUUGACUUGUGUCCUGUCAGAGGAAACAGUC
rnacentral:snoRNA from 1 species